AACGAACGCUGGCGGCAGGCUUAACACAUGCAAGUCGAGCGCCCCGCAAGGGCAUCGGCCGACGGUUGGGUACGGCGUGGGAAGGUACCUUUUGGUUCGUGACAACUCCGGGAAACUGGAGCUAGUACCGGAUAAGCCCUAACGGGGAAAGACUGAUCGCCGAAAGAUCGGCCCACGGCGGAUUAGCUAGUUGGUGGGGUAACGGCCUACCAAGGCGACGAUCAGGAACUGGUCUUAGAGGAUGAGCAACCACACUGGGAGCGAGACACGGGCCAGACCCCUACGGGAGGCAGCAGCGGGGAAUAUUGGACGAUGGGCGAAAGCCUGAUCCAGGCAUGACGCGUGUGGGAAGAAGGUCUUCGGACUGGAGAGCACUUUAAGUUGGGAGGAUGGGAAGUAAGUUUAUACCGGGCUGUUUUGACGUUACCAACAGAAUAAGCACCGGCUAACUUCGUG
rnacentral:rRNA from 1 species